ensembl:lncRNA
UAUUUUUGGGGUUCAUUGGUGGGGGAAAAACUCAUGAAGCUUAUACACUGGCUCCUGAGUUCAGUAUCAAGUGAGGCAGAGACCACGUAGAUAAUACAGGAAUACUUUUAGAGGCGUUCUCCUGAUUAAGCGGAGAUGUCUUCGAUUCACGAAUCUCUGACAUUCAAGGAUGUGGCUGUGGAGUUCACCUUGGAAGAGUGGUGACACCUGGAUCCUGCCCAGAGGGCCCUGCACAGGAAUGUGAUGUUGGAGAACUAUGAAAACCUGGUCUCCAUAGGUAAGCAGAACCAGUCCCUGUGAAUCAGUGUCAGUAUGUUGGAAUUUUUGCAAGCUCAUUUGCUGUAGGCUAAGAAAGGUAUACAUAAAUGUUGUCUUAUUAGAUAAGAACACUUAAGGCCCCACGGAAGAUGAGAAUCCUGUAAUAAUUAAAAUUAGGUUAUGAGACUUCUAGUAGCUUUAUAAUUUCAUUAAAUCAUAGUAGUAGUAGUAGUAGUAUUAAAGAGAGGGAAAGGUAGGAAAGAGGUAGAAAGUUACUUAGCUUUCUACUCUAUUGGUGGCCAUGAUGUAUUGAAGCUGAGGAAAGACAAGAGUUCCUUCAGCUUCCAUGCUCCAGCCAGAAGACUCCAAAGACGGCUUGUUCUUCCAUUUAUGAGCUGUUUUCUCCACCCACUAGCUCUCACACAUCACAUUUCCAGAACCAACCAUAAUUUCUUAAUUUUCCUGAGCCACCCAAGGGGGCCAAUGUCUAUGCAAUAAUUUCCUUUCCUGUUGGUUCCUUAACUUCCUUUCUCUGAGGUCUUGUCUAUACUUGAAUUAGUUAGUGGUGUUCGACCUCCAGGUCACUGAGUUAUGUCAUUUAAAUAAAAGACAUCAUAAUGGAGAGAGAAAUUCUUUUCCAACAAUCCCAUAUCUUUUGUGGCCAGUAGGCAAAAUGUUUCUGUUCGGUGUUUCUGGGAAAGAGGUCUUUGCUUUGUAUGAAUUGAGCUCCUCUGGCUCCUUUCCUCUGAUGGGAUUCCCGUUUCCAAACUAGAUUUGCUCUUCCUGUUGAAGAGAGAAGAUGUACAGAAUGAAGAGGGAGAAGCUGGGACAGGAACUUCUACAGGUGAGUCGUUGAAAAGCAGCUGCUCCUUCCCCAUUAAAUUUUCUUCCCCUCCUUUUAGAUUAAUGGUCUUGAUGGGAUCAGUCCUGGGUCUAGGCAAUCAGUCAGUAGCAUUGAUUAAGCAUCUUCUAUGUUCUGAUCCUGAGGAUAGAAGUGUGGUGGGGAUCCAAGUCACCUAAAAAAUUUACUACCCACAAAGAGAAGGGAAGAGGCAGGCCAUGCUGUCAAGAAGCUCAGGAUCUAGAAUACAACAUAGAAAUGGUGUGAGAAGCAGCAGCAGAUCAUGAACCACACUCUUGGCUGUUCUUGGGAAGAGUGUUUUGGAAUGGAAAUCCAUUUAGUUCAACAGGAAAUGAGGGAAUGGAAGCAUGACGACAUUAACAUUUUUAAGUAAGAGUAGAGUUAGGGAGUGAAUAGUCAAAAUAAGAAUAACAAUGAAAAAACUAAUAGCUGUCUUUUACUCAGCCUACUGUGUGCCAGGCAUUUUCUAAAUCUUAUUUGAUCCUCGUAUAAAGGAGGUCGGGGAUAUUAUGAUGUUCAUUUUACAGAUGAAGAAGCUGAAGCUGACUCGUCCAGGGUCACAGUACUAGCCAGGUUCUGUGGUGGAAUUAGAAUUCAGGUCUUCCUGACCUCUCUUGGUGUUCUGCCCACUGAACCACUAUCUGUAUUCUCAUUUUUAAGUAGAUAACUGAGCGUGCUGAUAUAUAGAUGAGAGAAAAAAUAGGAGGUGAAUUGUUGAAGUUCUUUUACUGAGGGAUGGAAAUUCGUUCUUUGUUUUUAGCUCCCCAACCAAUCAACAAAAUGAAUUGAUUGUUAAUAUAUUUAAAGGUGCAUUUUUCUAUUGGCUCAUUACAAGUAAUGUAUUGAAUGAUAAAUUUACAUGAAGGUUACUUGUAUAUUACAUUUUUCCUUUUUUAAAAGUGUUAAUAAAUAAACAUCUAGGUGGCUCA